AUGAAGACGGACGCCCCCUCCGGACGUUACUACCCAAAGAAGACGCGCAAACUUGUAGCGUCCCGUGUAGCACCCAACUGUGUAAGAGAUGCUGAAAGGUAAUUAAGUUUCCAGAAUCCAUGCAGCCAACAAGUGACCAGGCCCGAAUCUACAUCCGGUUUGUCUGAUUCCAAAACCUAUACUUCUCCAGUUCUACCACACAACAUUCUUUUUAUUGGGACCAGUUGGCAAAGAUUUCUUCUAAAGAGAGGACGCUGAAUUAGGACCUUUGGAGGUGCUUAGGGAAUCCAGCUGCUUCUGAUGUCAACAGUUGACUCAAGUCUUCAGAACUGAUCUUCCUGAAACUAGCUGUGUGUUCUCAGUGAGUCACUCUGCCCCUUAAGGCCUCAUUCCCACUUUGACUUAGAAAGAGCAUGGAGUGGAAAUGCAAUAGUCUCUGCAGAGCUUUCCAAUUCCAAAAUGGUAGGUUUGUGUCAGUAGGUCGACAACAUUUUUAAAAAAUAGCACAUAGGUCUAUGACUUUGGCAGAGGUUAGGGCACAUGGCUGUCACUCUGUCCCAGAAACCAUACAAUGACUAAAUCAAAGACGUUUAAUAAACUGAGGUGCACAUAGUAUUCUGAAGCGCAUUAAGAAAGUGCCGAAACUUGUGUUCAAGACUCUAUGAUCUACGACGGAGGUGUUAUGGGACAAGUGCUAUGAGAAUACCAGAGCCAGUAUAGUGGGGGGUGGGAUCAAAAAGAGAGAAAAGACCAUGGCCACCAGGGUGGAGGAGGCCAACGGCCUAGUGAUUGAGCUAAAUAUGACGAAUGAAUAUCAUCAGUGCAAUAGGGAAAAAAUAUGAGAGGUGAUAAGGAUGCAAUGAGCACAUGUUUGCAGUCAGAACAAGGUUAGUUGCUUCCAAGAAUAGUAAGGUUACAGAGAAGAUGGGGGAGUGAACUACAACCAUGGAGGAAGUGGUGAAGAGGGCAAGAGAUGGUCUGGCAAGAGACGUGAGAGCCUGAAACACAAGGCUUCUUCCUCUUCUGCUACUCAGAAGCGUUGAUGGACUGUUGAACAUCUUCAGCAGAGAAGUCCAAGGACAGGUUGGACGUCGCGUGCAAGAUGCCGCAGCGAAGGUGACCAUGAGCAAAGACCCAAUUUUACUAUCUAUGCAAUAGUUCAGGCUGUUAAGAUUGGAGAAUAGAAAUGUCUUUUCGUCUUCAAACUAAUAAAUCUAUAAUGAGGAAAUAGCCUUGUUACUCUAUAAAACCCCUGACACGAUUACUAUAGCCAUUGAAGUGUCUGCGUCUGUUCUGAUCAAAGAAGUUUCAAAGGAAGAACUCACAGAAUUCGGUGACUGAUUAGAUAAGGAACAAGUGGGGAAGAAAGUGUUCAAGAUGACUCAGAAGUUUGGUGUCUGUGAGACCAGGGGCCCUGUUUAGAAGAACUAUCCAUUCCAAAGUCAAGGGAAGGAUUCAGGGAAGGAAUAGCAAAUUUGGCUGCACACUUGUUGAAUUUAAAAUGCUUGGCAGGUGUCUGUGCGCAGAUGCACAGCAUGGGAUGGACACGUGGGCAGACUCAGUUGGAGCCUGGAUGAGAUAUGGCUACAGGCAGGGUGACCAAGGGAGACAGUGCAAACCAAAACUCAAAGAGGCCCAAAGGGUGAGCCUUGGGUACUCCCCACAACCACACUGAACUGAGUUCAGACAAUAAAGCAGAAGGAGAGGGUAGUGGAAAAGGAAGGAGGGUAGUGCAAUUUCCUUAAAGCCCAGGGAUAUGAAACAGUGAGCCAAAUGUUAUCAUUCCAGUUAUAGGUGAGGCAACUUGUGUUUAGGGAAGUUAAGUAACUAGCCCCAAACCACAGGGUUUGUGGAGGUGGAGCUAGGCUUAAGAUCUUACCCCUUCUGGUACAUUGCUCAGGCAUCGCCUCCUCCAGGAAGCCUCCCUGCUUACGACAUCAGACCCUGUCCCUUCCUCUACCCUCCCAAAGUACUCUAUGCGUCCGUCAGUCUUCCAGUCUAAGACAUCCGUCUGUUUCAUACUCGCAUUCAGAGCUCAGCCUAGAAUUAUUCCCAACUAAUCUUGACAUGGCCAAGGAAAAACAAAACAAAACAAAACAAAAAAACCUUUUAACCGAGGUAUGUUUGCAAAUGAGGGCAGUUGUACUUUGCAGAAUAAGUGUGGUGUAUUUUUGAAAAACAAAUUAGCAGACUCCUAUUUUUCGUAAGGAAAGUUUAAUUCUCCAGGAAUUCACUAAUCAAGUUAUCAGUGUACUUCAUCAAAUACAGUAUUUUUUUUUUUUUUCCUCACGAGGUAAAGGGGUAGCGGGACCUAGUAAAAUGGCCUCCUCUCAUGUGAUAUCUUCACCUGACUUGAUGGCAUCUUUCCUCUGGCUUCCCAGUAUGUGAGGAAAGACUCACGGGUCAAACGGAAGGGCAAUGCCUGACUCACACGAGCAAACGCUUCUUUGCCAAGCCCUAAUUUUCUGAGACUGCAGUGAAUUUUUGCCAAAGUGGAGGAAGUGGUGGUAGGAGCCAGAAAACUUACGUGGGGUGUAUGUGUGUGUAUGUAUUAGUGUGUGUGUGUGUGUGUGUGUGUGUGUGUGUGUGUGUGUGCUGGGAGGCAGGUUUGAGAGUCUAACUGACUCAGGCAGAAAUACUGACUCCAUUGCCCUCUUCCUUUCUGUAUGGCUUGGUUUUCAAACUGCUCCGUACCACACAUUCCUCAUUCUUAAAACAGGUGUGAUAGUAUUACCCACCUCGUAGAGUUUCCGUGAAGGAUACAUUCGAUGAUAUAUGUAAAGCAUUUGGUACAUGGCGUGGCCCACUGUAAAUACCCAAGAAAUAGUAGCAAUAAUUGAUGGCAAUGAUGGCCAUGAAUGAACACAUCAUAUACCAGAACUUGCCCACUUUUCAUGCAAUCUAUAAAAAGGGACGUGUCGUGAUGCAGAAUCUGAAAAAAAAAAAUCUAUAAAAGAAAUGGAAAAUGUCCAAAGGAGAUGCUAAUAAGAGUUGAGAUCAUUCGGUUAUUCUCCAUUCUCUCCCCACCCAAUGGAAUGUGUUCUUUGGCAAAGAUUAGAUGAUUUGCAAAGUGUCCAGAUUUGUUUACACAUUGUCCUCUUUCCCUCCCUCCAGUCCAUCUGCAUUUUGUUUGCCUUGACUUAUGAUCUUUCAGAUUAAGAAGAACUGCACUCAUGAGAAUCGCGUUAAGGGUGGGGACAGAAGAAAGAAAUUUGCCUUUAAGGAUCACAUACCAUGUGCUCUUAGUUUGAGACCAACCCUUCCUGCUCAGCCAUUACAUCAGUGCCAUUUUUAAACUAUUAUAACAUCCAUUUUCACUUGAUGAAACAGAGGUUCAGAUGGGGAAAUGACCGGACCAAAGGAUAUAGAUAGCAAAGCCAAGAUUUGAACCCAGGUCUAAGUAGCUCUGAAAUCAUGCUCUUUCCACUACGUGUGUCCCCUUAUAGUUGUUGGUACAUAAUUAAAACUAAAUGUUUCCUUGAUCUUUCUCUGGAGUAUUCAUUAAUGGGUAAAUAUUCUCCUAACACUUCUCUCUCAGUUGUCAAAUCAAAGCCAUUUACCCAAAUGAUGAGCACUUCCCUAGGAUAAAUUGUAAUUUCUUGUACAAAACCAAAUAGUCUGCUUUAAAGAAGGCAAUUUACCUGAAAAAAAAAAAACACAAUAGUUGCAAUUACUCUUGAAAAUGCUACUCUCUUCCUUGAAGGGGACCUUGAAGGUCCCCAUCUAUUACCACCUCCAUCUCUAAUCAAAGACUUCUGCGAUACCCUUUAUUGCCCUCUCCUGAAUGCCAGUCCUUGUGUUUCAGAGGACUUGGGCUCUCCUUUGGUACUUUCUUAGUUUGUUCUGCCAUAUCUAGGCCAACUGAGGCUCAAAUCUAAAUCCCAGGGAGAUAUGAAUUUAUUGAGGGCAAGUGUAAUGUCGAGUUUUAUCUUUGUGUCUUUUACUCUCCAGUGCAAUACCAUGCCUAAUGGAGGCCCUGAAUAAAUGUUUGUGAAAUUGUAGUUAUUGGUCUGCCUUCUUUGUGACCCUAGAACUUACUCACUCACUCAAUCCUGUCAUCCUGCAGACAGGAUCCUGCAUUAGCACUGAAAGCAUUGUUUCAACCUUUGGCUCUUUUUGUCUCUUGCUCUAUGGUUUAGGUAAACUCUCCCUGACCUCUAUACCAGAUCUGAAUUUUAAUAGGUAGAAAAGAGAGGAACCAGUUUCCCAGAAUAAAAGACCUAGAUAAGAUGAUUUUGAGUUUAUAUAGGAAAUAUAUGGAAGUGAGUUCACUUCCAUAUUGUCAUCAUCUUUGUCUCUAAUUCAAACCUGCUUUACCUCAAAGAAUGGUACCAUUCUCCACCCAUACCUAGGUGCCUCCACAUCUGUUGCCUGAAGACCUUUUGCGAAAGAAGGUAUUGGAAUGACCAAAAGAAGCACAGCGGGGAAAAAAAGUCUCAACAUGAUUAUUCAUCAGGGAAAUGCAAAUCAAAAGCACAAUGAGACUCUACUGAACACCCCCUAGAACAACUAAUAUUUAAAAAGACUGAAAAAAAUCUAGGUGUUGGUAAGGAUAUAGAACAGCGGAAACAACUCUCAUGCAUUGCUAGUGAGAAUGUAAGAAAAUACGACCACUUUGGAGAACACUUUGGUGACUUCUUAAAAGAUUAAACAGAUACCUUAUGACUCAACAAUUCCAUUUCUAAGGAUUGAUGCAGGGAGAUGAAAACCUGUCUACAAAAGACUUGUGCGAAGUGUAACGGCCACAAGUGGAAGCAAUUCAAAUGUUCAUCAGCAGCUGAAAGGAUAAACAAAUUGUGAUGCUUCCAUACAUUGAAAUUUCCAUACAACUACUCAGCAUUGAAGAGACACAAAUUAGCUACAUAUACAAUAUGGACAGAUCUUAAAAACAUGCUGAGCAAGAGAAGCUAACUCGAUGAGAAUACAUACCAUAGGGUUCCAUUUAUGUGAGGUUCUAGAACAGACAAAACUAAUUUACAAUGGCAGAAAUCAAACUAGUGGCUGUCUAGAAUAGGGAGUUCAGAGGGGUGGGAGGGAUGACUACAAAAGGGCAAGAGGGACCUUUUAGGGACAACAAAAAUAUUCUCUAUAUUGAUUAGGUUUGGGUUACAUUACAUGUGUAUGAAUUUAUCAAAACAUAUCAAACUGAAAACUUUAAACAUCCAUUGGUAGAUGAAUGGAUAAGGAAGAUGUGGUACCUAUAUACAGUGGAAUAUUAUGCAGCCAUAAAAAAGGAUGAGAUCGUGACAUUUGUGGUCACGCGGAUGGACCUAGAGGGUAUCAUGCUAAAUGAAAUAUGUCAGACUGAGAAAGACAAAUAUCACGUGAUUUCACUCAUAUGUCGAAUCUAAAAUAAAUAAAUAAACAAACAAACAAAAA